GAAAAUGUACAUCUCUGUGUCUCUCCUCUUCCUCUUCACUGGCUUAACCUCUGCCAAAAAGGAAGGAGAUUUCGGUUUUUUCACUGCUUGCACCAAGAACAACAGCCUCAGGUUGGAGUGCUAUUAUGCAAACUGUACAAACUCUCCGCCCUACGACUGUGAAUUCUCGACACCACACGAGACGCUGCUACUUAAUGAAUCCAAUGAGAAGUGCAAACUCGUUAUCCCAGACCACCGUCUGAAGUACCGCAACGUGAAAACAAACUACACGUGCACACUGACGAGAAAGGAGAGGAAGGAGGUGAGGGAAAUCUCAAUUGACUACAAUGUACGAAAAGGAAGAGGUCAUAUCAAGGCCUGCCCCGGUACCUCAGGUUUACUGCUGCACCAGACUCCAGCCUCCCUGUGGCCUGUGGUGGCUCUGUCUCUGUGGAGAGUCCUGGUUGCAGGAGGCAGCCAGCCGACAUGAGCCAUUCUGCUGAACGGAUCGUCUGUGGAGGCUUUGACCAACAGAAAUCUAUUUAUACAGUUUUAAAUGUUAUCAGAUUGUUAUACACCUUUUGUUUUGCCUUACAGCCUGAUCUUCACUCAUACAGUAACAUAUCAAGUUCUGAAAGGAAAGGAUUGUCAUUUAUGUACACACAGAUUAAAAGUGUUGAAUCACA